GACGAACGCUGGCGGCGUGCUUAACACAUGCAAGUCGAACGAAGUGGCGAACGGGUGAGUAACGCGUAAUCAACCUGCCCUUCAGAGGGGGACAACACUUGGAACCGACUGCUAAUACCGCAUACUGAAUGAGGGGAUUGCGUUUGAUUAGCUAGUUGGAGGGGUAACGGCCCACCAAGGCGAUGAUCAGUCGCCGGUCUGAGAGAGUGAACGGCCAAAGUGGAACUGAGACACGGCCCAGACGCCUACGGGAGGCAGCAGUGGGGAAUCUUCCGCAAUGGACGAAAGUCUGGCGAGGCAACGCCGCGUGAGUGAUGGCGGCCUUCGGGUUGUAAAGCUCUGUUAAUCGGGACGCGGUACCGGAAUAGAAAGCCACGGCUAACUACGUGCCAGCAGCCGCGGUAAUAC
rnacentral:rRNA from 1 species